rnacentral:rRNA from 1 species
CCUACGGGAGGCAGCAGUGAGGAAUAUUGGUCAAUGGACGAGAGUCUGAACCAGCCAAGUAGCGUGAAGGAUGGCUGCCCUAUGGGUUGUAAACUUCUGUUAUAUGGGAAUAAAAUGUUCCACGUGUGGGAUUUGGUAUGUAGCAUGUGAAUAAUGAUCGGCCAACUCCGUGCCAGCAGCGGCGGUAAUACGGAGGAGCCGAGCUUUAUCCGGAUUUAUUGGGUGUAAGGGGUGCGUAGGUGGUUUGUUAAGUCAGUUGUGAAAGUUUGCGGCUCAACCGUAAAAUUGCAGAUGAAACUGGCAGUCUAGAGUACAGUAGAGGUGGGCGGAAUUCGUGGUGUAGCAGUGAAAUGCUUAGAUAUCACGAAGAACUCCGAUUGCGAAGGCAGUUCACUGGACUGCAACUGACACUGAGGCACGAAAGUGUGGGUAUCAAACAGGAUUAGAUACCCCUGUAGUC